rnacentral:misc_RNA from 1 species
GAUGAAGAACGCAGCGAAAUGCGAUAAGUAAUGUGAAUUGCAGAAUUCAGUGAAUCAUCGAAUCUUUGAACGCACAUUGCGCCCCCUGGUAUUCGGGGGGCAUGCCUGUCCGAGCGUCAUUGCUGCCCUCAAGCACGGCUUGUGUGUUGGGCCUCCGUCCUCCUCCCGGGGGACGGGCCCGAAAGGCAGCGGCGGCACCGCGUCCGGUCCUCGAGCGUAUGGGGCUUCGUCACCCGCUCUUGUAGGCCCGGCCGGCGCUUGCCGACACAUCAAUCUUUUUUCCAGGUUGACCUCGGAUCAGGUAGGGAUACCCGCUGAACUUAAGCAUAUCAAUAAGCGGGA